rnacentral:rRNA from 1 species
AGUGAACGCUGGCGGUAGGCCUAACACAUGCAAGUCGAACGGCAGCACAGUAAGAGCUUGCUCUUACGGGUGGCGAGUGGCGGACGGGUGAGGAAUACAUCGGAAUCUACUUUUUCGUGGGGGAUAGCGUAGGGAAACUUACGCUAAUACCGCAUACGACCUACGGGUGAAAGCAGGGGAUCCUCGGACCUUGCGCGAUUGAAUGAGCCGAUGUCGGAUUAGCUAGUUGGCGGGGUAAAGGCCCACCAAGGCGACGAUCCGUAGCUGGUCUGAGAGGAUGAUCAGCCACACUGGAACUGAGACACGGUCCAGACUCCUACGGGAGGCAGCAGUGGGGAAUAUUGGACAAUGGGCGCAAGCCUGAUCCAGCCAUACCGCGUGGGUGAAGAAGGCCUUCGGGUUGUAAAGCCCUUUUGUUGGGAAAGAAAAGCAGCAGGUUAAUACCCCGCUGUUCUGACGGUACCCAAAGAAUAAGCACCGGCUAACUUCGUG